GACGAACGCUGGCGGCGUGCCUAAUACAUGCAAGUAGAACGCGCAGUUUAUACCGUAGCUUGCUACACCAUAAACUGUGAGUUGCGAACGGGUGAGUAACGCGUAGGUAACCUGCCUGGUAGCGGGGGAUAACUAUUGGAAACGAUAGCUAAUACCGCAUAAUAUUAAUUAUUGCAUGAUAAUUGAUUGAAAGAUGCAAUUGCAUCACUACCAGAUGGACCUGCGUUGUAUUAGCUAGUAGGUGAGGUAACGGCUCACCUAGGCGACGAUACAUAGCCGACCUGAGAGGGUGAUCGGCCACACUGGGACUGAGACACGGCCCAGACUCCUACGGGAGGCAGCAGUAGGGAAUCUUCGGCAAUGGACGAAAGUCUGACCGAGCAACGCCGCGUGAGUGAAGAAGGUUUUCGGAUCGUAAAGCUCUGUUGUAAGAGAAGAACGGGUGUGAGAGUGGAAAGUUCACACUGUGACGGUAUCUUACCAGAAAGGGGCGGCUAACUACGUG
rnacentral:rRNA from 1 species